GCUUGCUGGGGGGAUUAGUGGCGAACGGGUGAGUAACACGUGAGUAACCUGCCCUUGACUCUGGGAUAAGCCUGGGAAACUGGGUCUAAUACCGGAUAUGACUCCUCAUCGCAUGGUGGGGGGUGGAAAGCUUUUGUGGUUUUGGAUGGACUCGCGGCCUAUCAGCUUGUUGGUGGGGUAAUGGCCUACCAAGGCGACGACGGGUAGCCGGCCUGAGAGGGUGACCGGCCACACUGGGACUGAGACACGGCCCAGACUCCUACGGGAGGCAGCAGUGGGGAAUAUUGCACAAUGGGCGAAAGCCUGAUGCAGCGACGCCGCGUGAGGGAUGACGGCCUUCGGGUUGUAAACCUCUUUCAGUAGGGAAGAAGCCGCGAGGUGACGGUACCUGCAGAAGAAGCGCCGGCUAACUACGUGCCAGCAGCCGCGGUAAUACGUAGGGCGCAAGCGUUAUCCGGAAUUAUUGGGCGUAAAGAGCUCGUAGGCGGUUUGUCGCGUCUGCUGUGAAAGACCGGGGCUCAACUCCGGUUCUGCAGUGGGUACGGGCAGACUA
rnacentral:rRNA from 1 species